rnacentral:lncRNA from 1 species
UAUUACCAUCCAUGAUUGUUACCUAUUUUGGUCCACCAGGGACCAAAGUAGUCUUAAGUCUGAAGAACCAGUGCAUGUGCUUUCUUUAUCGUAUUUUCGUUAUUAUUAUGGACGCUAGGCUAUGGUUGCGUACAACGUUUCAGCAAAAUCUCAAAUUUGAUAAGAAAAAAAUUUUAUUUUUUGAUGUAAGCGUAAGUUUAUUUUUUUUAUUUUUGGGCACGUGGUGGCCAAUGGCAAACUAGUAAAAUCAUAUUUGAAACUAACACAUAUUUCAUUAGCAAUAUGCGAUCAAUGCUGGAACUCGGAGACAAGUUUAAAUUUGCAUAAA